GUUUUAAAGGAAGCAGCCAAGCACAACGAAACUUGAAUCCAAAUCCAAGCUGUGACCCUCAGGAUGAUGGACAGUCUGCGGUCAGAGUUCGGAGCAGGCUGGAACUUUGAGCGAUGCCACGAUGCCGCAUGACGACACCGCAGCCAUCUCCGCUCGCUCCCCGCCGGCGACUCAGAAGGCAGCUUUUCCAUUGCAGCGCGAGGAAAAGGAAAACCGUGGGCCCGUCGCCACAUUGGCCUCAGUUUAACUUAAACAUUGUCUCAACAUCCAUUUCUUUUUACCUGGCUGGAGGACAAACCAUGAGUAGAAAUGUUGCAGCUGACUCUACCCCAAAUGAGGCCAUUCUCAGUGUGGGUCGGCAAGAAAGAACAGGGUUCUUUAAGUCAGAUUUUACGGUGUUUGUGGCCCUUUUUUUUAAUAUCAUAUAUAGUGAAACUAUGGCGACAGGUAGGACAGAGAGAGACACGUCCAGCAACCGUCCUCAGAGGAAAAAAACACACACAGGCAGUUUUAUUAUUUAUGUUGUAAAGAGCUAAUAUGGGAAAUAAAACUUGUUACUUGUAUGAUAAAUAAUUAUCGUCAUAUAGCCUUUGUUGAGCUUGGUUGAAAAGCAAAGAUAAAGAGGUAAACAGCUAGCCGAACAAACCCCCCCAAGAAUAGAGUUUCCCUCAGUCCUGUGUUUAUGCUAAGCUAAGCUACGCUAAGCGUGGUAUC
ensembl:lncRNA